GAUGAACGCUGGCGGCGUGCCUAAUACAUGCAAGUCGAGCGAACGGACGAGAAGCUUGCUUCUCUGCUGUUAGCGGCGGACGGGUGAGUAACACGUGGAUAACCUACCUAUAAGACUGGGAUAACUUCGGGAAACCGGAGCUAAUACCGGAUGAUAUUUUGAACCGCAUGGUUCAAAAGUGAAAGACGGUCUUGCUGUCACUUAUAGAUGGAUCCGCGCUGCAUUAGCUAGUUGGUAAGGUAACGGCUUACCAAGGAAACGAUGCAUAGCCGACCUGAGAGGGUGAUCGGCCACACUGGAACUGAGACACGGUCCAGACUCCUACGGGAGGCAGCAGUAGGGAAUCUUCCGCAAUGGGCGAAAGCCUGACGGAGCAACGCCGCGUGAGUGAUGAAGGUCUUCGGAUCGUAAAACUCUGUUAUUAGGGAAGAACAUAUGUGUAAGUAACUGUGCACAUCUUGACGGUACCUAAACAGAAAGCCACGGCUAACUACGUG
rnacentral:rRNA from 1 species